GAUGAAGAACGUAGCGAAAUGCGAUAAGUAAUGUGAAUUGCAGAAUUCAGUGAAUCAUCGAAUCUUUGAACGCACAUUGCGCCCCCUGGUAUUCCGGGGGGCAUGCCUGUCCGAGCGUCAUUACAACCCUCAAGCCUGGCUUGGUGUUGGGCGACGUCCCCUUUGGGGACGCGCCUCGAAACGCUCGGCGGCGUGGCACCGGCUUUAAGCGUAGCAGAAUCUUUCGCUUUGGAAGUCGGGGCCCCGUCUGCCGGAAGACCUACUCGCAAGGUUGACCUCGGAUCAGGCAGGGAUACCCGCUGAACUUAAGCAUAUCAAUAAGCGGAGGA
rnacentral:misc_RNA from 1 species